UUUGAGUUACCAUAUAACCAAUUUUGACCCUUUAUUCCUAUUUUCAUCAUAUGAAAUGACUUUACUGUCCCUAUGGAAAAAUACAUUUUUUUGCCAUCUUCUCUCGUGUUGGACUGUUGGUCCUGUUCCAUCGGUUGCCUGCUCACGUUCCCCAGUUCAACACGUUUGUUCCGUUCUCCCAAUCCCCCAAUACUCAUACUGAAGAAAGAAGGUACUGGAGGAGCCGAGGAGGCCCUCAUCUUAGCGACGGCUCCCACUGCUGCUGGUAGCAUGGAGGCUUCCGCUGAAGCUCUGCAGCUCGGCAGACCGGCAGCUCCCUCUCCUGCUGACGGCGUGGCGGCCUUCGGGACUCCGGCUGCAACUCGGGGCUGCGGAUGGCACCCUCGUUGCUCCAGCUAGUGCAAUCCCAGCCCACCACGAAUUAAAUGGCCACCGCAAAAUGCUAACUAAGAUCAUCCAUGGUUCAAUAGCCAUGGGGCAUGGGGCAGAGGAAGGAAGAGGAUCUAGAGUAGCUCACCAUGGUACAUUUGCGGCCGACACCGGCAGCGAGGGAAACCUCUGUUGUGCUCAAUCUAUCCUGUUGCUGCUGCACAAGGAGAAUAGAUCAUCCAUAAACAAUAGGUAAUGAAGCCAAUUAAUCCUAAAAGUACCAGGAUCCUAACUAUCCCUAGAUCAUCCAUGGUCAUGAAUGAAACAAAGCACAAGAAAGACCUUCCAGGGUGUCGUUCAUGCAUCUAUCGAGGUGGUGAGCUGUAGCUACGUGAGGAUGGGAAGGAAAGUAGUUGGAUCCAAUUGAAUCCAAGAGGAGAGGAGAGCUGACCUUGAAGAGAAGAACUUCAUGCCUCCAUGGACAGGAAGAAUCCCAGGUCGCUUCUAUGGCGAGGUCCAUGGCGUUGAAACCCUCUCCACACGCGGAUGCUAGGCAGGAGAGAGAGGAAGCCUACGCCGGCUGCCCAAGUCAUGCCGGUGAAUAGGAAAAAGCAGUGAAGGAGGGAGGUCAAAUCCACCCAAAUCAAGGUCCAGGUCCAGAUAGGCAUGUGAGAGAGGAGGUACAUCGACGACGGCCGACGGCCGAUGGCGGAUGACGGAGAAGAUCAGCGACGGACGGUGCGUGCAGGGCGGUGGCGAAUGGACGAACGGCGGCGAGCCGCAUUUUUCUGUCUCUCUCUAGUCGCACCUUUCUCUCAGUGAGAAAACAGAGAGGUGAGAGAGAUAAUUUCGUGCCCUCCAGUGGUAAAUCUCAAUGUGCAGUUAAAAAAAAGCUCAUAGUCUGA